GAUGAACGCUAGCGGCAGGCUUAACACAUGCAAGUCGAGGGGUAGAAGGAGCUUGCUCCUUUGAGACCGGCGCACGGGUGCGUAACGCGUAUGCAAUCUACCUUUUGCAGAGGGAUAGCCCAGAGAAAUUUGGAUUAAUACCUCAUAGUAUGUGAGGAUGGCAUCAUUUUCACAUUAAAGUCACAACGGCAAAAGAUGAGCAUGCGUCCCAUUAGCUAGUUGGUAAGGUAACGGCUUACCAAGGCUACGAUGGGUAGGGGUCCUGAGAGGGAGAUCCCCCACACUGGUACUGAGACACGGACCAGACUCCUACGGGAGGCAGCAGUGAGGAAUAUUGGACAAUGGGCGCAAGCCUGAUCCAGCCAUGCCGCGUGCAGGAUGACGGUCCUAUGGAUUGUAAACUGCUUUUGUACAGGAAGAAACACUACUUCGUGAAGUAGCUUGAUGGUACUGUAAGAAUAAGGAUCGGCUAAC
rnacentral:rRNA from 1 species